ensembl:lncRNA
UUUUUUCUUUUUUCUUUUUUUUUGAGACAGAGUCUCUGUUGCCCGGGUUGGAGUGCAGUGGCACAAUCUCGGCUCACUGCAACCUCCACCCCCCAGGUUCAAGUGAUUCUCCUGCCUCAGCCUCCAGAGAAACUGGGAUUACAGUGCCCACCACCAUGCCUAGCUAAUUUUUGUAUUUUUAGUAGAGAUGGGAUUUUGCUAUGUUGGUCAGGCUGGUCUCAAACUUCUGACCUCAGGUGAUCCUCCCACAUUGGCCUCCCAAAGUGCUGGCAUUACAGGCGUGAGCCAUUGUGCCCAGCCCGUAAUCACUAACUUCUAUUGAGCAUUUACUAUUGCGCCAGGUACUAAGUGCUUUACAUGUAUUUAUUAGAAGGGAAAAAGGUUCUUCCUCAUCCCUUAUGUUUCCUUCCAUGUGGAAGAAGCUUCUCUGGCAUGAGAUUUCUGACCUGUCUCCCUGCUCUUUGACUCACUCCUGCCCAGGAGGACGGUGGUGGUGGCAAAGAGGGUGGUACAGGAAGAGGAGCAACUUCUCAAUGGUGAGCCUGGGGAGGAACUGGAGAUGCAUAGCUCAGCCCAUCUCUGUCCUCUUGGCAGCCAUCCUCCUCCAGAGCAUGCUUUGGGCUCUGCUCUCCCAGGCUCCACUGUUUACAGGGACAGUUUCCAACUGGGAGGCAUGCCUGAGCCUGCGUGGGUACCCUGCCUAAUUCUGGUAUUCACUCACCCACAAAUGUAAACUACGGACUCCUAUAUAAAAUGUAUCAGUGAUAAAGUUGAUAUUUUGAUCCCAUUUGCUUUUUUUUUUUUUUUUUUUUUUUUUUUUUUUUUUGGUGAUGGAGUCUUGCUCUGUUACCCAGGCUGGAGUGCAGUGGGGCGAUCUCGGUUCACUGCAAGCUCUGCUUCCUGGGUUUAAGCGAUUCUACUGCCUCAGCCUUCCAAGUAGCUGGGAUUACAGGUGUGCACCACCACACCCAGCUAAUUUUUGUAUUUUCAGUAGAGACAGGGUUUCUCCAUGUUGUCCAGGCUGGUCUUGAAUUCCUGACCUCAAGUGAUCUGCCUGCCUUGGCCUCCCAAAGUGCUGGGAUUACAGGAGUGAGCCACUGCUCCCGGCCAAUCCCAUUUGUUUUUAUUACUCCUUGCCCAGCUCUUAAUUACUCAGAACUUGGGAAGGGAAGAGAGGUUUCCUCUAUUAUGUUCUCUUGGAUCUCCAAACUAUUAACUCAUUUAAUCCUAACAAAAAUUCCGUUAGAGGACAGGGAGCAAUGGCUCAUGCCUGUAUUCCUAGCACUUUGAGAGGUGUAGUUUGGAGGAUCUUUUGAGGCCAGGAAUUCGAGACCAUCCUGGGGAACAUAGUGAGACCCUGUCUCUACUAAAAAUACAGAAAAUUAGAAAAAAGAAUUCCAUUAGAAAAGUACUCUUAUUAUCCUCUCAGCUGAGGAAACUGAGCAUUUGGCCGUUUGGUUGAAAUACAAAUAUUUGCUCUCAGUCCAGGAUCAGAUGAAAUUAAAGCAUAUAAGAGUGUUUGCAAACUGUUAAAGCUAUGUAUACAGAAGGCAAUGAGGGUGGUGGUUCUGGCUUUGACAGCCACUGGCAGUAGGACUCUGAGCAAGUGCUUUCCGGACUUUAGUUCCUUUAUCAGGAAAGCGAGGGGUCAGACAGGCUGAUCUGUGCAGAUCUUUCCUGUUCUAACGCC